UUGUCACUUGGAAGCUGUUCCAGCCAGGAAGGGAACCCAAGUUGACUUGAAGCCAGGCCCUUAAUUGGAUUGGGUUCCUAGGGAGGCCACUAGCCGGCUCUGCAGCUCUGGAGAAAGGAAGAGCUUCCCUUAACCCUCCUCCACAUCGCAGCCGAAUCCCAGAUGGCUACCACCCAAUAAGGUCGGUGUAUCCUGUCCAGUGAUCACGGUUCUCUCAGACCUCAGGAAGGCCUUCUGCUGACACACCAGCAAACGCAGCGAGUCCUGUGUAGUCUAACUGGAUCUCUCUAUUCACUCAGGCCACCGAUUUUUAUUGAGAGUCUACUAUGUGCCAAACCCCAGACAGCAUCUUGGCUCUUGAAAAGACUUCAACAGACAAAUACCCAAAUUAAAAGGUCCAAGCCGGGAGGCAGCAAUAAGAGCAGUGACUGAGAGCCCCAGCCAAGUGGCUCAGCCAGCAAAGGUGCUUUGGAUGACCUGAGCUCUGGACGACCUGAAUCCACAUGGUGGAAGGUUGCUGAAAAUGGAGAGAUGGUGACAGGAUUGAGUCUGGAUGAUAGCAUCCUGUGCCACCUACUGAUGACUGGUUGGUCCCUAUCUCUACCUCAAGCUUAUACCGGCUGCAACUUCCCACUCAAGCCCCGCCCAUCCACCCACAAUCACCAUCAACUCUCAUGCUGGCAGCCACAGGGUGAGCCAGGAAAGACUCUCUCCCAGAUGCCUGCCUUUUCUAGAAGUCCUUUCAGCUCAGAAUACAGACCUGGCAAAGCUGGUGGCCCUGGCUCAAAUGAAGUGACCGUUUGCCAUUCUGAAAGGUUCACGGACAGCCAGCGUUGCCCUGAGAGAACCAUAGGGGCAAUCAACUCCCCAGUUGCUCCUAAGCAACACCAGAGCCUAGCAGGCCAGCCCUUCCUCCUUAGAAAGUUUGGUUUGUCUGAGGACCUUUCUUCCGUUCUUUGGUGGCUCAGGGAUCUUUGGCGAUUCACGGUUCAUUUAUCGGCUUAUUUAUUUGGUCUUUCUGAAGCCUAAACAGCCAGUUCCUCACAUCUCAGCUUGCAAGCAGAGGGAGGCAUGAAACCACUUGUAAUUCUACGGCAAAUGUGUCCUUUCCCAUAUGACUAGAGAGCCCUUCACCUCCCAACGAAUGAAGGCGCUCUCCAGUUCUGAGGUGCGCUGGGAGCCCAGAGGCCUGCAAAGCCCCAGCAAUGGGGGAACCAGAAGCACCCAGGCACCCCAUGUCUUCCCAGCUGCAUCCUAGUCCCUUGAUAGCCCCAGGCUCCCUCCCUUGCUGGCAGCUUGUGUGACAUUUGGGAGUUGGGCUGGGCUGGUUGGUUUGCUUCCUGCGAAGUCGAGGCGUCUAAGCUCCUGGAGCCAAGCUUCCUCUUGUAUGUCCUUAUUUGGGGCCUGCCUGCAGCCCUUCUUCCCGCAGAACGCCCUGUACCGCUGCCUCUGCCCUACCCAGGUCCACAACGCACCACCGGGAACAGCCUGUGGCAGAAGGACAAGCCCCUUGUCUCAGCUGAUCCCUCCCAGACGACACCCUCAGGGUCCUGAUGAGUGAGCCCCCGGGCUUAUCUGUUGUUCCCAUCUGCUUCUGGCCUCUCGGUUUGGGGGGUGUGGUUCUGGAAGGAUUCCUUUCUUCGGAUGAGCCAGCGCAUGCCAGUCUGGCGGCAGGGUCCACCCCUGCAACCGAGAAAAGGGUGUCCAGCACAGAGCCCUGUAUGCUGCUAACAGCGAUGGCUUCCUACAGCAGGAGACUUAAAAGACAAGGCUGAGAGAAGCCAUCUCAGGAAGUAGGGGGUGAGGACUACAAAGUCAAAGGGGAUAGGAACUUGCUGAUGAGACGUGACCCUGUAGGAACCAGCAUAUAUAAGGGGAUAUUUGUGACCUGGAAGUAUCCCAGCAGACUGUCCCUUCUCUACUUGGAAAGGGGGAAAACUUUAUGGAAUGGGAAAACCUGCCAGAGCCAUAGCAGGUGACAAACCCUAACAUCAGGCACACAAACACCUGGCACUUCUGGAAAUGACUGAGUCACAUGGUGUCACUUUUAUAACAAUCUAGCCUAGAGGGAGGUCAGAUCCCAGUGUGACCCAGAGGAGAAUGAGACACACCCCACUGAAGGAAUGGUCUGUAAAAUAACUGGUUUGUUUUCUUCUAAACAACCAGAGUGACUGACGUAAACUAAAAGAGAGUUGCAGGGCAUGGUGGUGUUCAUCCAGGAUCCCAGCACUCAGAAAGCCAAGGCAAAAAGGCCAUGAGUUCAAGGCCAGCCUGGGAUACAUGGCCAGUCUGUCUCAAACACAAACCAACAAAGAAACAACCCCAACCAACAAGAGAAGUUGGGGGGAGGCGGGGGCUAAAUCACAGUAAAGAGCCAGGUGUGGUGGCUCACACCUGUGAUCCUGGCACUUGGGAGGCUGAAGCAGGAGGAUUGCCAUGUUCUUGAAGCUGCCUUGUACUACGUAGUGAGUGACUACAGCUCAGCUCCCUGGGACCAGUUCCCAUCUUCAGGCUGAGGGGUGGAAGUCUUUCAGCAGUGGGGUGUUGGUCGUGUGGUCUUAUCUCACAAGCCAUUUGUCUAGGCCCCUAUCUGUGGGGACAGGCUGGCGGUGUUGUUAUGCAGUAAAAUGUAAAGGACUUUGAAUUGGCCAUUUCUGGGCCAUUUAGGGCCAGGCACUGUGGGUAACAGGGAGUUGGGCUCUGAAUGUUUAUAUAAGCUGUUCCAAGUCAGGGUCAGGCUCUGACUGUUAAAAUGUGGGGAUUUCUGUCUUAUUUGACUUCUGAACUUUUUGUCUCUAUAACCCUAACUCUAAAAAUACUAGUACUGAUUGGUAAGUUUCCCAAUUCUAAUAUCUGAGUCCCAAAAGGCCCUCUGACAAACACACACACACACUUACACACACUUACACACACACACACACACACACACAGAGAGACAUUGAAAUUACCUUCUGGGGAUGUAGCUGAGUUGGUAGAGUGCUUGCCUAGCACACAUAAAGUCUUGGUUCCAUCCCCCAGUACCACAUAAACCAGGUGUGGCGGCGCAAUUACACUCUCACCAAUUCGGGUGCGCAGAGGCAAGUUCAAGACCUGAAGGUGGAGCAAGGAGGGCCAGGAGAUUCAAGGUCUGGGACAUGCUUGGCCUGGGACAUAUGACAUUCGCCUCAAAACAAACAAAAAGCAAGGCUGGGGAAGAUCACGGGAGAGGGGAGAGAGGAAGGGCAGUGUGGUGGAACACUGUCUCUGGCCACAGCUGCUGUACUCUCCAUCUCGCAAGCAGCUGAUUACCUAUGCCAUACUGGGAGCAUCAUGGAGGAGAAACAGAAGUCCCUCCCCUCCCCGGGGAUCUCUAAACAGUUCAUGGUUGCUGGGGGAGGGAGACAUUUUCUUCAGCGGUGCAGCCGAGGUUAAGGCCGCCUUGCUCCUAUAAACGACCUCUUCCCCAUGCACCUGUACACACCAUUGAUGAAGUCCACUGAGAAAGAAAGAGAACAAGCAGGGCAGUGGUGGCUCACACCUUCAAUCCCAGCCCUCAGGAGG